UCCCAGGUGGUCCAGCGGCUAAGACUUUGUGCUUCCAAUGCAGGGGGCCUGGGUUCAAUCCCAGGUCAGGGAA
rnacentral:tRNA from 1 species